ACUUUCCUUGGCCUCCUGCAGAAGGACGCUUUGACCUUCCACAGCCCCCCUCGACACUGUCCCACGUCUCUCACGGAGCACCCCCUAGACCUCUUGGAGUUUCCUCUGCCAUCCUACAGCGCUCCCUUGAGGUCUUGCUGGUCACAGCACCUUCUCUGACAUCUGUCCUCACCAGGGUCCUUCCCUGUAAUUCACAGUGCAUCUCCCUCUCCACCCUCCACCGACAUUUCUCUCUCUCCCCAACUAAAUAAACGUUCCGCGUCUCCACAGAUGCCAGUAUAUCACUAGAUAUCGUCCAGCUUCCCUCUUUGGAAGGCUCAGUGGCAUCUCUUCAUAUCCACCAUCCUUCACAGAAGCGUCCUCUUACUUCCACGGCUCCAGGCUCUGUGGCCUCAGGCAUAUGUCAUCCCUCUUUCCCAGCUCUACACUACAAAUCAGUUGUCAGGCCCUCAUCCCAAACACAUCCCCGCUCCCCCAGGUGCUGGGCUCCUGCAGCCAGCUAGGCCUGCAUUAUGGUCCUCUCUCAUGGUCAGCCCCUUC
rnacentral:lncRNA from 1 species